AAUGGGCAUGGCCAAUGCGGCUAUACUGUAACUGAUUUUCAAAACCAAAUAGGUAUGGAUCUUCAAAACACAAGGAUCAAUGAAAUUAGCCGAACAAGCAGUUAUUUAGGUUGUCCAUGUUAAAUCUAUAUUCUGCAUUCUUAUUGUCUUUCAUUGAGCUAUUUGCUUGCAGGCAAUCAUUUACAAUGCAUUUGCUCCAUCUUAUGAUAUCAUGGGCUGUUGUUUGUGAUGUGUGCUACUUGGAACUUCAAAAUCUAAAACCUGGCAAGACGCCAAUAGAAUUUGCAGAAAGGCAACAAAUCUUUGCAGAGACGGUGCUGCGAUGUCUCAAGGAAAAAUGAAGAAAAAUCAGGCUCGUUCUUUUCUUCCAAGAAUAUUUUCAUCCAAAGAGAAGACCAUAAGCCAAACCGACGAAGAUUCAUUCGAUUCUUCCGGUAAGUAAUAAGCAUCUCUUUACCUUUUAAAUCCAACCAAAUCUCUUAAAUCCUUUUACCAAU